rnacentral:lncRNA from 1 species
UAAUGCCAAGCAUGCUUUGCAAUGAAUAGACAUAUUUACGGUAUUGAGAAAAAUACAUAUUAAAUAUGCGUUUAAGGACCCGUAAACGUGUGUAAAUGCAUAAAUAUAUCACUGACACAUAUAUACUUUUUGCUCAAUCUUUGAAUAAUUUUUCUAUUUGAAGCCUGAAAAUGUAUAAAUUUUACAUUUUUUUAAAAAAUAUGUAUAUAUGAAAAAAAAAGAAAAAGUAUAUGUAUACACAUAUUUAACUUAAUAAAAUGUUUUUUUUUAAAAUUAAGAAAAACACAGUUCAAAUAUCCUUAAACAAAGUUUGUUUACGUUUUUUUAAAACAAAAAAAAAUGUAAGUGUUAGCAAAUUGGUAAAAAACAAAAAAAUAAAAGAGCAUGAACUGUACAAUAUCAGAGAUAUAGAACUUUUAUUAAAUGAGAAGCGUCAUGAUAUUUUGAACAAUUACCCAGUAAUCGGAAAUGUGAACAAAAUUAUAAGUGUUAAUGAUAUUCCAAUUUUUCGAAAAAAUGAAAACACGCAUAACAUAUUAAAUAAAAUUGCUCUUCACUUUGGCGAUUUGUCUUACUUAAAAGGUGAUGUAGUUGUGAAUGGAACGAAUAAAGUUUUUGAGUUAACUAAAGAAGGUAAUGGUUAUGAUUGUGCAGGCAAUUUUUUAAAAACAUGUGGAGAUGAAUUGUUUAAUGAUAUGAAAAGUAUUCGAAAAAAAAAUGAAUCAAAUAAAAAUAUCAUAAUAACAAAAGGUUAUAAUAGUGCAUAUAACAACAUUAUACAUAUUGUAGAACCAUAUUAUAAUGAAACAGAAAAAUUAAAAGAUUGUUAUAAAAAUAUUUUAUUAAUAGCUAAAAAAAACAAAUUCAAAACUAUUGUUUUUCCAUUACUUGGUAGUGGUAUCAGCUUAUUUAAAAGACAAGAUGUUGUUAUAUGUUGUUUAGAAGGUAUUUAUGAAUUUUUAAAAAUAAAAGAUAAUUUUAAUUCUAUGAAUAAAAUUAUUUUAACUACUAUUACUGAUUCUUACUGGAUGUUAUUAAGAGAUUCUAUACCGCUCUACUUAAAUACAGAAGUAGAAUGAGUGUCUCCAAAAAAAAAAAAAAAAAAAAAAAAAAGACAUACAUACAUACAUACAUACAUACAUAUGUACUUAUACACAUACACAUACACCAUUUUUAUUUUUCCCUAAAAUAAAAAAAAUGAUUGACAUAAGUACGCA